rnacentral:rRNA from 1 species
GACGAACGCUGGCGGCGUGCCUAAUACAUGCAAGUCGAACGCACUCUCGUUUAGAUUGAAGGAGCUUGCUCCUGAUUGAUAAACAUUUGAGUGAGUGGCGGACGGGUGAGUAACACGUGGGUAACCUGCCCUAAAGUGGGGGAUAACAUUUGGAAACAGAUGCUAAUACCGCAUAAAACCUAAACACCGCAUGGUGUAGGGUUGAAAGAUGGUUUCGGCUAUCACUUUAGGAUGGACCCGCGGUGCAUUAGUUAGUUGGUGAGGUAAAGGCUCACCAAGACCGUGAUGCAUAGCCGACCUGAGAGGGUAAUCGGCCACACUGGGACUGAGACACGGCCCAGUCUCCUACGGGAGGCAGCAGUAGGGAAUCUUCCACAAUGGACGAAAGUCUGAUGGAGCAACGCCGCGUGAGUGAAGAAGGUUUUCGGAUCGUAAAACUCUGUUGUUGGAGAAGAAUGUAUCUGAUAGUAACUGAUCAGGUAGUGACGGUAUCCAACCAGAAAGCC